rnacentral:rRNA from 1 species
ACUGAACGCUGGCGGAAUGCUUUACACAUGCAAGUCGAACGGCAGCACGGACUUCGGUCUGGUGGCGAGUGGCGAACGGGUGAGUAAUGUAUCGGAACGUGCCCAGUCGUGGGGGAUAACGUAGUGAAAAUUACGCUAAUACCGCAUACGAUCUAUGGAUGAAAGCGGGGGAUCGCAAGACCUCGCGCGAUUGGAGCGGCCGAUAUCAGAUUAGGUAGUUGGUGGGGUAACGGCCCACCAAGCCAACGAUCUGUAGCUGGUCUGAGAGGAAGACCAGCCACACUGGAACUGAGACACGGUCCAGACUCCUACGGGAGGCAGCAGUGGGGAAUUUUGGACAAUGGGCGAAAGCCUGAUCCUGCCAUUCCGCGUGCAGGAUGAAGGCCCUCGGGUUGUAAACUGCUUUUGUACAGAACGAAAAGGUUUCUACUAAUACUAGGAGCUCAUGACGGUACUGUAAGAAUAAGCACCGGCUAACUACGUGCCAGCCGCCGCGGUAA